rnacentral:rRNA from 1 species
GGGGAAUUUUGGACAAUGGGCGCAAGCCUGAUCCAGCAAUGCCGCGUGCAGGAUGAAGGCCUUCGGGUUGUAAACUGCUUUUGUACGGAACGAAAAGCCUCUCUCUAACAUAGGCGGUGGAUGACGGUACCGUAAGAAGAAGCACCGGCUAACUACGUGCCAGCAGCCGCGGUAAUACGUAGGGUGCGAGGUGUAAUCGGAAUUACUGGGCGUAAAGCGUGCGCAGGCGGUUUGGUAAGACAGGUGUGAAAUCCCCGGGCUUAACCUGGGAACUGCGCUUGUGACUGCCAGGCUAGAGUACGGCAGAGGGGGGUGGAAUUCCACGUGUAGCAGUGAAAUGCGUAGAGAUGUGGAGGAACACCGAUGGCGAAGACAGCCCCCUGCGCCUGUACUGACGCUCAUGCACGAAAGCGUGGGGAGCAAACA